rnacentral:rRNA from 1 species
CAAAUUUCUGCCCGUAUCAAACUUUCGAUGGUAGGAUAGUGGGCGUUACCAUGGUGUCAACUGGGUAACUGGGGAAUUAAGGGUUCUAUUGCCGGCAGAGGGAGCCUGCAUGAAACGGUGACCACAUCCAAGGAAGGCAGCAGGCGCGCAAAUUACCCAAUCCCGAUGAACGGGGAGGUAGUGACAAUAAAUACUGAUACAGGGGUCUUUUGGGUCUUGUAAUUAGGAAUGAGUACAAUUUAAAUCCCUUAAUCGAGGAACAAUUGGAGGGCAAGUCUGGUGCCAGCAGCCGCGGUAAUUCCAGCUCCAAUAGCGUAUAUUAAAGUUGUUGCAGUUAAAAAGCUCGUAGUUGAACCUUGGGCCUGGCUGGCCGGGUCCGCCUCAACCGGUGCACUGGUCCGGCCGGGCCUUUCCUUCUGGGGAGCCGCAUGCCCUUCACUGGGUGUGUCGGGGGAACCAGGACUUUUACUUUGAAAACAAUUAGAGUGUUCAAAGCAGGCCUAUGCUCGAAUACGUUAGCAUGGAAUAAUAGAAUAGGACGUGUGGUUC